UAAGUUAGUAGUGAAAUCGUGUGGCUCAACCAUACAUCCAUUACCAAACUGCUCGGCUUGAGGACGAGAGAGGUCACUGGAAUUCCAAGUGUAGGAGUGAAAUCCGUAGAUAUUUGGAGGAACACCGAUGGCGUAGGCAGGUGACUGGCUCGUUCCUGACACUAAGGCACGAAAGCGUGGGGAGCAAACGGGAUUAGAUACCCCGGUAGUCCACGCCGUAAACGAUGGAUGCUA
rnacentral:rRNA from 1 species